rnacentral:rRNA from 1 species
ACAGUGGACGCGAGCAUCUUUGUUAGUAAGUGUUUAAGAGCGUACGGUGGAUGCCUUGGCACCAGGAGCCGAUGAAGGACGUAGGAGGCUGCGAUAAGCCUCGGGGAGCUGUCAACCGAGCUGAGAUCCGAGGAUUUCCGAAUGGGGAAACCCAGCACGAGUGAUGUCGUGUUACCCGCAUCUGAAUAUAUAGGGUGUGUGGAGGGAACGUGGGGAAGUGAAACAUCUCAGUACCCACAGGAAGAGAAAACAACAGUGAUUCCGUGAGUAGUGGCGAGCGAAAGCGGAUGAGGCUAAACCGUGUACAUGUGAUACCCGGCAGGGGUUGUGUAUGCGGUGUUGUGGGGUCUUCUUUCUUGAUUCUGCCGGAUCAGGCGAGAGUAAGAAACCAAGUGGUUAGUCGAAGUGGUCUGGAACGGCCUGUCAUAGAGGGUGAUAAUCCCGUAGACGAAAACUUCUUGGCUCUCGUAGAAGAUACCCGAGUAGCAGCGGGCCCGUGAAAUCUGCUGUGAAUCUGCCGGGACCACCCGGUAAGCCUGAAUACUCCCUGGUGACCGAUAGCGGACUAGUACCGUGAGGGAAAGGUGAAAAGUACCCCGGGAGGGGAGUGAAAUAGUACCUGAAACCGUGCGCUUACAAUCCGUCAAAGCCUUCGCAACUUGUUGUGUGGGGUGAUGGCGUGCCUUUUGAAGAAUGAGCCUGCGAGUCAUCGGUGUGUGGCGAGGUUAACCCGUUGUGGGGUAGCCGUAGCGAAAGCGAGUCCGAAUAGGGCGUUUAGUCGCACAUUAUGGACCCGAAGCGGAGUGAUCUACCCAUGGCCAGGGUGAAGCGACGGUAAGACGUCGUGGAGGCCCGAACCCACUUAGGUUGAAAACUGAGGGGAUGAGCUGUGGGUAGGGGUGAAAGGCCAAUCAAACUCCGUGAUAGCUGGUUCUCCCCGAAAUGCAUUUAGGUGCAGCGUCACGUGUUUCACGCCGGAGGUAGAGCUACUGGAUGGCCUAGGGGGCCUACAAGCUUACCGAAGUCAGCCAAACUCCGAAUGCCGGUGUGUGAGAGCGUGGCAGUGAGACUGCGGGGGAUAAGCUUCGUAGUCGAGAGGGAAACAGCCCAGAUCGCCGGCUAAGGCCCCUAAGCGUGUACUAAGUGGAAAAGGAUGUGGGGUCGCUUAGACAACCAGGAGGUUGGCUUAGAAGCAGCCACCCUUGAAAGAGUGCGUAAUAGCUCACUGGUCAAGUGAUCCUGCGCCGACAAUGUAGCGGGGCUCAAGUACACCGCCGAAGCCGCGGCAUUCACGCAAUAGCCCGUCCUUACUUUCGAGUGAGGGCCAGGUGUGUGGAUGGGUAGGGGAGCGUCCUGUGGCCGUGGAAGCAGCAGUGUGAACUAGCUGUGGAGGCCACGGGAGUGAGAAUGCAGGCAUGAGUAGCGAAAGACGAGUGAGAAACUCGUCCGCCGAAUGACCAAGGGUUCCUGGGCCAGGUUAAUCCGCCCAGGGUGAGUCGGGACCUAAGGCGAGGCCGACAGGCGUAGUCGAUGGACAACGGGUUGAUAUUCCCGUACCCGUGUAUCCGCGCCCAAUGCUGAAUCAGUUGUGCUAAGUAUCCAAAUGUUGUUUUACCGAGCCUUCGGGCGAGGGGGAUGACGGCUGCAUACGACCCUGGCUGUAGUAGGUAAGCGAUGGGGUGACGCAGGAAGGUAGCUGGGCCAGGUGAUGGAAUACCUGGUGUAAGCGUGUAGGGCGCAACAUAGGCAAAUCCGUGUUGCACAUAGCCUGAGACGUGAUGCGUACCCGUUGAGGGGAAUUCAGUGAUCCUAUGCUGCCGAGAAAAGCCUCUAGCGAGCUGGUACACGGCCCGUACCCCAAACCGACACAGGUGGUCAGGUAGAGAAUACUAAGGCGAUCGAGAGAACUGUGGUUAAGGAACUCGGCAAAAUGCCCCCGUAACUUCGGGAGAAGGGGGACCUGGUCUGGUGACGUUCUUUACGGACUGAGCUGGGCGAGGUCGCAGAGACCAGAGAGAAGCGACUGUUUACUAAAAACACAGGUCCGUGCGAAGUCGUAAGACGAUGUAUACGGACUGACGCCUGCCCGGUGCCGGAAGGUUAAGAGGACCGGUUAGCCUGUUAUGGGCGAAGCUGAGAAUUUAAGCCCCGGUAAACGGCGGUGGUAACUAUAACCAUCCUAAGGUAGCGAAAUUCCUUGUCGGGUAAGUUCCGACCUGCACGAAUGGCGUAACGACUUCUCUGCUGUCUCAACCACAGACUCGGCGAAAUUGCAUUACGAGUAAAGAUGCUCGUUACGCGCGGCAGGACGAAAAGACCCCGGGACCUUCACUAUAGCUUGGUAUUGGUGUUCGGUACGGUUUGUGUAGGAUAGGUGGGAGACUGUGAAGCUCGGACGCUAGUUCGGGUGGAGUCGUCGUUGAAAUACCACUCUGAUCGUAUUGGACUUCUAACCUCGGACCAUGAUCUGGUUCAGGGACAGUGCCUGGUGGGUAGUUUAACUGGGGCGGUUGCCUCCUAAAAUGUAACGGAGGCGCCCAAAGGUUCCCUCAGCCUGGUUGGCAAUCAGGUGUUGAGUGCAAGUGCACAAGGGAGCUUGACUGUGAGACUGACAGGUCGAGCAGGGACGAAAGUCGGGACUAGUGAUCCGGCACCGGCAAGUGGAAGCGGUGUCGCUCAACGGAUAAAAGGUACCCCGGGGAUAACAGGCUGAUCUUCCCCAAGAGUCCAUAUCGACGGGAUGGUUUGGCACCUCGAUGUCGGCUCGUCGCAUCCUGGGGCUGGAGUAGGUCCCAAGGGUUGGGCUGUUCGCCCAUUAAAGCGGCACGCGAGCUGGGUUUAGAACGUCGUGAGACAGUUCGGUCUCUAUCCGCCGCGCGCGUAAGAAACUUGAGGAAGGCUGUCCCUAGUACGAGAGGACCGGGACGGACGAACCUCUGGUGUGCCAGUUGUUCCGCCAGGAGCACUGCUGGUUGGCUACGUUCGGAAGGGAUAACCGCUGAAAGCAUCUAAGCGGGAAGCCUGUUCCAAGAUGAGGUUUCUCUCCCACUUGAUGGGUUAAGGCCCCCUACAGACCAUGGGGUUGAUAGGCCAGAAUUGGAAGCCAGGUAACUGGUGUAGGUGACUGGUACUAAUAGGCCGAGGGCUUACUUAC